UGUACAUGUUGUCUUUGGACUGGUUAUUUCUGGUUUUGAAGUAAUAGAGCAAAUAGAAAAUCUGAAAACUGAUACUGCAAGUAGGCCCUAUGCAGAUGUACGAGUUAUUGACUGUGGGGUGCUUGUGACAAAAUCAGCAAAAGAUGCUUUGGAGAAGAAGAAGAAAGUCUGUUCUGACUCAGAAGCUUCAGACUCUUCCUCCAGUGCAUCAAGCUCUUCAGAAACUUCUUCUGACAGUGAAGCUGAAAAUGAAAGAAGCAGAAGAAGGAAGCGUAAAAGAAGAACUAAAACCAAACAAUCGAGAAAACGAAGAAAGGAAGAGAGAAAGAAAGAGGAUUCAAGGUGCAAGCGAACCUCAAACCAAAGACGCAGCCUUUCUGACAAGAGUGAUACAACAGAAAGAGCAGCCGAUGUUAGCACAAAGAGGGACAAACCUGUGGUACGUCCUGAAGAAAUACCCCCAGUGCCUGAAAACAGAUUUUUGCUCAGAAGAGAUGUGCCUGUUGUCAGCGUAGAGCCUGAACCGAAGCUUCUUGAUGCUACACCAGCUUUGACUGACCAGAAACCAUCAGUCUCUAAAUCUGGACGAAAAAUUAAAGGAAGAGGCACAAUAGUAUGUGACAACUUACUUUUUUUCUUUCACCCAGAAUAUCUUCUCUGACCUUGAGCUUUGAAUUUCCUUGGAGACUUUGUGUGACACUUUAGCUA
rnacentral:lncRNA from 1 species